rnacentral:rRNA from 1 species
GUCCUACGGGGGGCAGCAGUAAGGGAUAUUGGUCAAUGGGGGAAACCCUGAACCAGCAACGCCGCGUGAGGGAAGACGGUUUUCGGAUUGUAAACCUCUGUCCUCUGUGAAGAUGAUGACGGUAGCAGAGGAGGAAGCUCCGGCUAACUCCGUGCCAGCAGCCGCGGUAAUACGGGGGGUGCAAGCGUUGUCCGGAAUCAUUGGGCGUAAAGCGUUCGUAGGCGGCAAGGUAAGUCUGAUGUUAAAGCCCGGGGCUCAACUCCGGUUCGGCAUUGGAUACUAUCUAGCUAGAAUGUGGUAGAGGG